AGCGAACGCUGGCGGCAUGCUUUACACAUGCAAGUCGAACGGCAGCACGGGCUUCGGCCUGGUGGCGAGUGGCGAACGGGUGAGUAAUGCAUCGGAACGUGCCCAUGUCGUGGGGGAUAACGUAUCGAAAGGUACGCUAAUACCGCAUACGCCCUGAGGGGGAAAGCGGGGGAUUCUUCGGAACCUCGCGCGAUUGGAGCGGCCGAUGGCGGAUUAGCUAGUUGGUGGGGUAAAGGCUCACCAAGGCGACGAUCCGUAGCGGGUCUGAGAGGCGUAUCCGCCGCACAGGGAGAGAGACACGGCCCAGACUCCGACGGGAGGCAGCAGUGUGGAAUUUUGGGCAAUGGGCGCAAGCCUGAUGCAGCCAUGCCGCGUGAGUGAAGAAGGCCUUCGGGUUGUAAAGCUCUUUCGGCCGGGAAGAAAUCGCACUCUCUAACAUAGGGUGUGGAUGACGGUACCGGACUAAGAAGCACCGGCUAACUACGUGCCAGCCGCCGCCGUAAUAC
rnacentral:rRNA from 1 species